GACGAACGCUGGCGGCGUGCUUAACACAUGCAAGUCGAACGGAAAGGCCCUGCUUUUGGGGGGUGCUCGAGUGGCGAACGGGUGAGAAACACGUGAGUAACCUGCCCUUGACUGUGGGAUAACUUCAGGAAACUGGGGCUAAUAGCGGAUAGGAGCUCCUGCUGCAUGGGGGGGGUUGGAAAGUUUUGGCGGGUGGGGGUGGACGCGCGGCUUUUCAGCUUGUUGGGGGGGUAGUGGCUUAACAAGGCUUUGACGGGUAGCCGGGCUGCGGGGGUGACCGGCCACAUUGGGGCUGGGAGACGGCCCCGACUCCUACGGGGGGGAGCAGGGGGGGAAAUUGCACAAUGGGGGCGAGCCCGAUGCAGCGACGCCGCGUGGGGGAGGACGGGCUUCGGGUUGUAAAAUCCGUUCGCUCGGGUCGAAGCGGUUUGUGACGGUGACUGGAUAAGAAGCACCGGCUAACUCCGUG
rnacentral:rRNA from 1 species